rnacentral:rRNA from 1 species
UACGGUGCUGAAGCAACAAAUGCCCUGCUUCCAGGAAAAGCCUCUAAGCAUCAGGUAACAUCAAAUCGUACCCCAAACCGACACAGGUGGUCAGGUAGAGAAUACCAAGGCGCUUGAGAGAACUCGGGUGAAGGAACUAGGCAAAAUGGUGCCGUAACUUCGGGAGAAGGCACGCUGACACGUAGGUGAAGUGAUUUACUCAUGGAGCUGAAGUCAGUCGAAGAUACCAGCUGGCUGCAACUGUUUAUUAAAAACACAGCACUGUGCAAACACGAAAGUGGACGUAUACGGUGUGACGCCUGCCCGGUGCCGGAAGGUUAAUUGAUGGGGUCAGCGCAAGCGAAGCUCCUGAUCGAAGCCCCGGUAAACGGCGGCCGUAACUAUAACGGUCCUAAGGUAGCGAAAUUCCUUGUCGGGUAAGUUCCGACCUGCACGAAUGGCGUAAUGAUGGCCAGGCUGUCUCCACCCGAGACUCAGUGAAAUUGAACUCGCUGUGAAGAUGCAGUGUACCCGCGGCAAGACGGAAAGACCCCGUGAACCUUUACUAUAGCUUGACACUGAACAUUGAGCCUUGAUGUGUAGGAUAGGUGGGAGGCUUUGAAGUGUGGACGCCAGUCUGCAUGGAGCCGACCUUGAAAUACCACCCUUUAAUGUUUGAUGUUCUAACGUGGACCCGUGAUCCGGGUUGCGGACAGUGUCUGGUGGGUAGUUUGACUGGGGCGGUCUCCUCCUAAAGAGUAACGGAGGAGCACGAAGGUUGGCUAAUCCUGGUCGGACAUCAGGAGGUUAGUGCAAUGGCAUAAGCCAGCUUGACUGCGAGCGUGACGGCGCGAGCAGGUGCGAAAGCAGGUCAUAGUGAUCCGGUGGUUCUGAAUGGAAGGGCCAUCGCUCAACGGAUAAAAGGUACUCCGGGGAUAACAGGCUGAUACCGCCCAAGAGUUCAUAUCGACGGCGGUGUUUGGCACCUCGAUGUCGGCUCAUCACAUCCUGGGGCUGAAGUAGGUCCCAAGGGUAUGGCUGUUCGCCAUUUAAAGUGGUACGCGAGCUGGGUUUAGAACGUCGUGAGACAGUUCGGUCCCUAUCUGCCGUGGGCGCUGGAGAACUGAGGGGGGCUGCUCCUAGUACGAGAGGACCGGAGUGGACGCAUCACUGGUGUUCGGGUUGUCAUGCCAAUGGCACUGCCCGGUAGCUAAAUGCGGAAGAGAUAAGUGCUGAAAGCAUCUAAGCACGAAACUUGCCCCGAGAUGAGUUCUCCCUGAGACUUAGAGUCUCCUGAAGGAACGUUGAAGACGACGACGUUGAUAGGCCGGGUGUGUAAGCGCAGCGAUGCGUUGAGCUAACCGGUACUAAUGAACCGUGAGGCUUAACCUUACAACGCCGAAG